rnacentral:lncRNA from 1 species
CUGUGCCUCUCUUUGAGUGCGGAGAGGCUGCACCGCUGAUGGACUGGCCACCACCAUAUUUGUGCUGCUAGAUGGCCAUGUGUCUAUGUAUCUCGUUGCAGCAUUUUUCAAUUGUCAAAGCCAGCCAUAUACACAGCUGUACCGAGUGUAUACGAGAGUAGAGCCCGGGCAUCAUCAGCAUCAUCAUCAACAAUGUGCAAUCCGCAUGCCUUGAAGGCGACUUCCGACACAGUUAUUUCUUCGCUGCUCGCCAGCUGCAUCUGCAUCUGCAUGUGUGUGUGUGUGUGUGUGUGGGUGUUUUUUGUAUCCAUGUGAAUGGGUCGCCCACACAUACACUCGCACACUUUCAAUAGCACUUUCCAUUGACACCAAACAAAAAAAAGAACGAGGAACAGCAAAAAGUGUGAGACCGAAACGAAAUGAAACCAAAGCAAAGAGUGGCACAAAAUGUUACUGCCAGCAGCCUGAGAUACUGAGUUACUGCUAUAAUGGUGAGUGUGAGUGUCCGCCUGUGCUGCUGUCCGUGUCCGUGUCGGUGUCCGUGUGUGUGUGUCCGUGAGUGAGAGUUAACAGCAAUUUGUAACGAUAAUUGUGUGUAUUUUUCAGUGACAAUAACGUUGAAUGCUGAUGAGUUUGCCCGAACCAAAGCCAGGGCCAGAACCAGCAUGUACAGAAUGGACAUUCGCAACAAGAAAUGCAGGCAAACCCAUGUCCAUACCCAAGCCCAUAUCUUCCCCACUGAACCGAUGUCCUUUACAUCCUUCACAGCUGCACCCUGCAGCUGCUGCUGGCUCUCUGCUCUCUGCCAUAAGUGCUGGCCUAAACGGCAAACAUUUCCAGUUGCUGAGUGCUGCGAAAAAGUGGAACUUGGAGCCAAGAGUGAAAGAGAGAGAGAGAGAGCGACUAAGAGAAGUCAAGCGAAUGCGGAGUCAUUGUCAAGUGUGUCAAGUGUCGGGCAAACACCAAUUUAAGGCCAACAAAAAUCAGCAAAAAAAGAAACGGAAAAUCAACACACACAAGGGAGCAAAAUCAAGCAGCAGCAAAAAGCAGUCUGCAGUCUGAAGUCUGAAGUCUGCAGUCUGCAGUCUGCAUAUUCCCCAAAGGACCUUUUUGGCACCCUUACAAUUUGCACCACGUUUCGCGGCAAUUAAAUUCAAUUUGUCAGUGACUUUUCUUAUAAUUGAUUUCAUUUGAUUUCCUUCCCACAUCUCCCACAUGUCUCACAUCUAACUGCCUUCAAUUGUUUCUGACAAUUAAUAAAUGUUGUUGCAUAAUUAAUUUAUGUGACGCAGCAGCAGCGCCAGCCAACACAAAAGGACAACUCGCCUAUUGACAUUGCUGUCAAAUAUGUGUAGAAUGUGUGUGUGUUUUUCUAUACAAGUAUGUAAAGGCUAAUGUAUGAAAAUAUGUAUUCCUGCGAUGGAAAUUUACCAACAGUAAUUAAACAGAAUUAUUUAAAUUAUUCUGGAAAAUAA